GCCGCCCUCUCGCCGGUCACCGUGGCCAGGCUUCGGGGGCGGGGGGUUUGUGUCACUGUGUGCGUGAGAAGCAUUACUUUGGGGCUACAGACAGUGUUAAGGUCUGGCAGUGAGCCUCGAGCCUCAGGGCCUCCUUCAAGGAUGAGUGAGGGACACUGUGAGGUUCAAGGAUGAUGUACAUCAGGUUUUCUAUGGCCCCGAGAAAGAACAUUUCCUGCUCUAUGCAUCUGAGAAUUGACUGUCUUCAUCCUACUGAGAUCAAUGAGUGUAAACAGAGGUGUGUGGAGUAAAGAAACUUGCCUAAGGUUUCGCCCUGCCCGGGAAUGAUGUUAGCAACAAACCAGCCAGCUCACCACUGCCAGAGGCAUGAGAACAGGUUUCCUCCUCAACUUCUGAAAGAAAUAGUACAUUAGCAUCAUAGACAUUUAAGCAUAGAAGGUGGCCAUUCAACCCUUGUGCCUGUGUCAUGCAAGCUCCUUCACUGGAUCCAUCUAUUCUUAUCUCAUCUUCUUUCUCCGCGCCCUUUUACAUCUUCAUUCUUCAAUUGUUUAUCUAAAUCCCUUUUAAAUUAAGUGGUUGACCCCACUUCAUUAGCAAUUGUAGAAAUUCUUUCCAAAUCCUAAUAACAUUUUGUGUAAGGAAUUUUAUUUUAAUCUCCCUCUUAUACUUCUAGCAAUGAUUUAAAAUUCAAAUGGUUUCCAACAGGAUGGGAAAAAAAAGGAAAGAGAAAGAUAGUGGAGUUUGAUCCUAGGCAAAAUAGAUGCAGCAACUCUUUGUUAUAAAGACCCCAUUUUAUUAGCAAUGUAUUGUUUAAUUUAUUCCAAGUCUUUGAGAUUGGAAGCUAUCUUUGCUCAACUGUUAAAUUUUAAGAACUCAAAUCUGAACAAUUUAUGUUAAAGACUGGUCUGCACGAUAUUACAACGUAGCAAUGCCUCCAAAGGUCUGCUGGUACUAUAAACCAAGACAAUAAUAAUAAUCCUUGCAUUUGAUAUAGCUCCUUGUC